rnacentral:rRNA from 1 species
UACGGAGGGUGCAAGCGUUAUCCGGAUUCACUGGGUUUAAAGGGUGCGUAGGUGGGUUGGUAAGUCAGUGGUGAAAUCUCCGGGCUUAACCUGGAAACUGCCAUUGAUACUAUCAAUCUUGAAUACCUUGGAGGUGAGCGGAAUAUGUCAUGUAGCGGUGAAAUGCUUAGAUAUGACAUAGAACACCAAUUGCGAAGGCAGCUUACUAUGGUAUGAUUGACGCUGAGGCACGAAAGCGUGGGGAUCAAACAGG